rnacentral:rRNA from 1 species
GACGAACGCUGGCGGCGUGCUUAACACAUGCAAGUCGAACGGUAAGGCCCUUCGGGGUACACGAGUGGCGAACGGGUGAGUAACACGUGGGUGAUCUGCCCUGCACUUCGGGAUAAGCCUGGGAAACUUGGUCGAAUACCGGAUAGGACCACUGCCUGCAUGGGUGGUGGUGGAAAGCUUUUGCAGUGUGGGAUGGGCCCGCGGCCUAUCAGCUUGUUGGUGGGGUGAUGGCCUACCAAGGCGACGACGGGUAGCCGGCCUGAGAGGGUGACCGGCCACACUGGGACUGAGAUACGGCCCAGACUCCUACGGGAGGCAGCAGUGGGGAAUAUUGCACAAUGGGCGCAAGCCUGAUGCAGCGACGCCGCGUGAGGGAUGACGGCCUUCGGGUUGUAAACCUCUUUCAGCACCGACGAAGCGCAAGUGACGGUAGGUGCAGAAGAAGGACCGGCCAACUACGUGCCAGCAGCCGCAGUAA